GAUGAACGCUGGCGGCGUGCCUAAUACAUGCAAGUCGAGCGAACGGACGAGAAGCUUGCUUCUCUGAUGUUAGCGGCGGACGGGUGAGUAACACGUGGAUAACCUACCUAUAAGACUGGGAUAACUUCGGGAAACCGUAGCUAAUACCGGAUAAUUUUUUGAACCGCAUGGUUCAAAAGUGAAAGACGGUCUUGCUGUCACUUAUAGAUGGAUCCGCGCUGCAUUAGCUAGUUGGUAAGGUAACGGCUUACCAAGGCAACGAUGCAUAGCCGACCUGAGAGGGUGAUCGGCCACACUGGAACUGAGACACGGUCCAGACUCCUACGGGAGGCAGCAGUAGGGAAUCUUCCGCAAUGGGCGAAAGCCUGACGGAGCAACGCCGCGUGAGUGAUGAAGGUCUUCGGAUCGUAAAACUCUGUUAUUAGGGAAGAACAUAUGUGUAAGUAACUGUGCACAUCUUGACGGUACCUAAUCAGAAAGCCACGGCUAACUACGUG
rnacentral:rRNA from 1 species